GUUUGGAUGUAUUGAGCAUACCUUCACCUCACCCACCCCCACCAGCCGACCCCCGAGGAAACGCAUGGUUGUCAAUAGAGUUUAACAAUAGAGUUUCUUCAGCUCUUCUCAUUUCUUCUGGUUUAAUGCUGCAUUCCGUCAUUUCCUCCAUUUCUCCGAAAUUAUCAUCCGAAGCCAACACAACCCCGAUCGGUUUUUUUUAUUCAAAACUAAUCCGAAGUAAAUAUCCAAGUAUGCGGGAGGAGUUUUUUUUUUUUAAAUGCAUCCUUCUCAGUUUUUCAUGUGAAGGCUGCUGAUGCAUCAAUCUUUCUGAUAAAGACCAUUACAUUUAUGCUUUCAUUAUAAGAUCCGAAGCAGCUCCCAUCUUCAGUUCCCAAAAUCUGGAUAAACAUGACGAUCUUCUUUUCUGUGCUGCCAUCGUGUGGUCCAUUACAAGCUGAAAUGUAGGCUACAGUUAAUUGAUAUUCCACAAGUAAUUAUGCUAUUCAUAUUUCGUUGCUUUCAUGUGCAUUCAAAUACUUAAUAUAUUGUAUGAACGUAAAUAUGUAUAAUGCAUAUAAUUUUGUCUUUCGCAGUGGGAUUUAUUCAUUUUCUGCAUGAGUUAAUCAAUAAUUUAUUUAAAUUGACAUUGCACAAUCCGCGCGCACCUCAACACAUGCGACCGGAACCGGAAAUAUGAUACAGAAAUGAAGGAGAAUGCAAAUAAGUGCAAUGUAAAACAGCCUACAGGAAAGAGUUUAUCUUUUAAAAGUUGUUUUAUACAUGUUUGAAAAUAAAUCAAAUUAAGAAAACUCCUAUUUUCAAUAGGUUUCGCGCACCUUUGGAUCAACUUGUUUGGAGAAUAACUUGUCCUUUCGUUUGUAACUGGACUUUUUUUAAUCUAAGAAAGAAAUCAGUGGCAAAGAUCAUUUAGAAAUUAAAACUAUUGUAGUUAAGCAUAAUUGAAGGGGGAAAAAACUUCCAUUACCUGUCAGUCAUCUUAAUUACAACUGCAUGUGUUACUUUUAUAUAUUAUAGGCCAUGUAUUUUAACAGCUAUUAACUGCUGUUUACACACGUACCUUAAGUUUUUAUAUAAAAUAUAAAAGUAUAAUUUUAAGUAAAGUAAUAGAUUAAUAGUGAUUGAUCUGUCGAUGUCAUGGACCUCGGGGAAAAAUAACUAUUUUUUCAAAUAUUACAGUUUUGGAGACGUGAUUCUGCCACCAGGAGGAGACAGGAAUACACUGUACAGAUUCACACUACAGUAAUCAUAAUAUUCACGACAGAAUUUUGAUCAACUACGAGUAAUCCAGUCUAAUUUAAAACCCCAAGUUUCAGAAAUCUUAUGAUCAGAACUUAAACAGCAAUAAAUGCUUUUUUUCUUCUUCAUCACAUUACGAAAACAUUUCAUUCUCACAGAUUUCGAUUCCAAAAACUGUGUGCACCAUCACAAUUGAAGGUUAUCAGACUGGAGGGAAUACAUUUAAAUGAAAAUAUUUUGAAAUACUUCUCAAAAAUACUUCGAUCAAAUAAAAAAAAAAAAACAGGAUUUCUGCAGGUUAUGUAAAAGUAUAUUUAAAACUUUUUAAGACCAAGUUUAAAUCAAGAUAGAUUUAUUUGAGAAGUAAAAUUACAUUAAAUAGUAAGUCUUGUUUUUUGAGAAACUAAUCAAACUGCGAGUUUUGCUGUAAGCAUAAACUCACUUUAUUUUGUUCAGUUUCUCAGAAAACAAGGCUUAUUCAUUUUGCAUCUCAAGUUAAUGUAUAUCGAUUUAAGGAUCUUUAGAUAUUUGAAGGGGGGGGGGGGUGCAACUGGCUGAGGAAAAUAUUGCUUUCUUGAAAUGCAUGCAACAUUUAAUAACAUCACUAUGAAUUUAUUGAAUGUUUGGUCCUAUUUAAGACCUUUAUUUGUGGAAGAGUGAAUUAAGAUGUUUUUUUAUAACUCACAGAAACCCUGAAAACUCAACAUUGCAAACUCUCCAUGCUUGAAUAAACGGGACCAACAUGUAACUUAAACAAGCUUAUUUUUAAUGGAUCUGCAAAAUCGUUUGAAUUUCCAAAGAGAACACUCCCCUCCCUGACACGUAUCUGGACCAGAAGAGAUACUUCCUGUCAAUUACAAACAUGGCAAAACUUACAAAAGACCCCAAAACCCCCAAA